UGGGGAAUUUUCCGCAAUGGGCGAAAGCCUGACGGAGCAAUGCCGCGUGGAGGUGGAAGGCCUACGGGUCGUCAACUUCUUUUCUCGGAGAAGAAACAAUGACGGUAUCUGAGGAAUAAGCAUCGGCUGACUCUGUGCCAU
rnacentral:rRNA from 1 species